rnacentral:lncRNA from 1 species
CCUUACUUCGGGUUCCUCUGGCCGCCUCAGGGGAAGACGGCUAACCUCCUCGGAUGCAGCCUCUACUUGGCUGCUGUAACACUCCUUCCGCUGAGCAUACUCUCUCUCUUUUGCCAGCCGGAAUUCUCGGUCCUUCCUUGUGUUUCGCUUGGCCAUGACCUGGUACCAGAUUGCCUGGCAUAUCUCCAUGGGUACAUCAUCCUCAUACUGGGCCACUCGCUGCCUCACCUUGGCCAGCCAAUCAUCUUCAGAGCCAGAGCCUUCCAUACUUGUCUGCUCCAAAUCGCUGGAUAACUCUGCUCCCAGGGG